rnacentral:SRP_RNA from 1 species
GCCAGGUGUGGUGGCACAUGCCUGUAGUCCCAGCUACUCAGGAGGCUGAGGCUGAAGGAUUGCUGGAGUCCAAGAGUUCUGAGCUGUCAUGUGCUAUGCCGAUCUGGUGUCUGCACUAAAUUGGGCAUCAAUAUGGUGACCUCCCGGGGGCGGGGACCACCAGGUUGCCUAAGAAGGGGUGAACCGGCCCAGGUUGGAAGUGGAGCCGGUCAAAACUCCCAUGCUGAUUAGUUGUGGGAUUAUGUCAGUGAAUAGCCACUGCACUCCAGCCUGGGCAGCAUAGUGAGACCCCAUCUCU